rnacentral:rRNA from 1 species
AUUGAACGCUGGCGGCAGGCUUAACACAUGCAAGUCGAGCGGAGAUGAGGUGCUUGCACCUUAUCUUAGCGGCGGACGGGUGAGUAAUGCUUAGGAAUCUGCCUAUUAGUGGGGGACAACAUUCCGAAAGGAAUGCUAAUACCGCAUACGUCCUACGGGAGAAAGCAGGGGAUCUUCGGACCUUGCGCUAAUAGAUGAGCCUAAGUCGGAUUAGCUAGUUGGUGGGGUAAAGGCCUACCAAGGCGACGAUCUGUAGCGGGUCUGAGAGGAUGAUCCGCCACACUGGGACUGAGACACGGCCCAGACUCCUACGGGAGGCAGCAGUGGGGAAUAUUGGACAAUGGGGGGAGCCCUGAUCUAGCCAUGCCGCGUGUGUGAAGAAGGCCUUAUGGUUGUAAAGCACUUUAAGCGAGGAGGAGGCUACUGAGACUAAUACUCUUGGAUAGUGGACGUUACUCGCAGAAUAAGCACCGGCUAACUCUGUGCCAGCAGCCGCGGUAACAC